AGUACCCGGAGAAAUUCCACAGAAGCACUGGGAGAACAUGCAAAUAGGGCUGUGAAGAGAAAUCGGCUAAGUCAAUUACAAAAAUUGGUUGAUGCAAAAAUUUCUGCCUCAAGGCAAUAAAAAAUAUUAUUGAAAGCAUAUUUGCGCUACCUGGAACCAAUUUGUGCUGCCUGGAACCAUUUGGCCACUGUCCAUGUUUACUGCAGGGACAUUUGUUGCAGACUGAUGCACUAUUGGUCCAAUGAAAAACAAUGCCAAAAAUGACAGAGGAGCGUCUAUAAGUGAUUUUUAAGACACUAUUCGAAACUAUUAGGAACAGACUAAAAGACAAAUUUGGUCUUUCACAAUUGCACUAUGUCAGACUACUGCCAUAAAAUCUUGCCGUAUCUCGGGCAGACAGUGGCAACGACAUUUAUUCCGAUAGCACCGUAUCCCAUCUUUUACGACCAUUGGGCUUUUAUCUUGUCAAAUCAAACACUGGAGGCGGAACCAGAAAACGUGUCACCGGUCAAUGCGAGCGGAUACAACCGUUACCAUGGUGAUGAUAACAACAAUGGAUCGCGCCAACGUAUUGUAUUGUGUUGGGGAAAAAGAGAACAAAAAGAGGAAAAGCGUGGUGUUGUCACCGGUGCUCGGGAGUGGACUGUCCAUUCAAGGAGAGAUUAAGGUAUGUUCACGUACUUUUAAUACAAUACGGCUCACAAGCAGGCAGCAUAAUGUUAUGUAGCCUAAAUGGUAAUGUCCAGCUCGCUAAUGCUAAUUGUGAGUUUACUAUACACUCAACAUAUGCAGUUUAAGGACAGAACCCCUCAUAAAUGAGAAUAAAAUGUACCGUAUUUUCACGACCAUAAAACACACUUAAAAGUCUUAAAUUUUCUCCAAAAUGGACGGGGUGCCUUAUAAUGCGGCGUGCCUUAUGUGAGCACCAAGUUUCAAAAUCUGUAAAUGUUGUUGUGUGACUUUGAUGAGCGCUCCGCUUGACUGACUUAAAUAGAGGAAAGGCGGAGGUGACUGAGGACAGCAUGCGGACGUUAAAGGGGGAAGGGUGCGCGUGAAGGAGGACGCUAAAGGCAAGCCCCCAGUAGGUAUUUAGCGCCGGUAUGUGCAUUGUGCAAAACAUCAGUUUGGCUAAGGACCCCCGAAAAUGGCACCUACGAAGAGACACGCUUACGAAGCACAGUUUAAACUGCAAGCUAUCAGUUACGCACAGGAACAUGCGAAUAGAGCAGCUGCGAGAGAAUAUAAUAUAAAUGAAUCCAUGGUUCGCAAGUGGAGGAAGCAGGAAAACGAGCUUCGCCAAGUCAAGAAGACGAAGUUUCCGCGGAAACAAGGCGAGGUGGCCCGAGUUGGAAGACCAACUCGAGCAAUGGAUUAAUGAGCAAAGAACAGCCGGCAGAAGCGUCUCUUCAGUCACCAUUCGACUGAGUGCAAUAACUCGGAGCUUGCCAUCAUUCCAGGAGGCUUGACGAAGGAACUCCAACCGCUGUACAUCAGUGUAAACACGGCGUUCAAAGUGAAGUUGCGAGCGGUGUGGGAGCCAUGGAUGACAGACGGCGAACACAGCUUUGCUAAGAUUAGCAGGCAGUGCUGGGCGAGUUACGCCACAAUUUGUGAAUGGAUUGUGGAUGCUUGGGCUAACGUGUCUGCUUGCACUGUUGUUCAAGCUUUCGUAAAAGCCGGCAUAAUUUCUGAGGAGACGCACGGCAACGAGACUGCCUCUGACAAUGACGAGAGGGAACCUGCCGUGUUUGAUGGAGAACUUGCCCAGCUGUUCAUUAUUUUUUUAAUUAUAAUUUUUUUUCCCGCUUGACUGACUGGGAACAUUUCCGUGCUGUGCAUUGCAAAACAACAUCGGUUUGGCUAAGAACACUCGAAAAUGUCACCUACGAAGAGACGCGUACGAAGCACAGUUUAAACUGCAAGCUAUCAGUUACGCGGAGGAACAUGCGAAUAGAGCAGCCGCGAGAGAAUUUAAGAUCAACAAAUCCAUGGUUCGCAAGUGGAGGAAGCAGGAAAACGAGCUUCGCCAAGUCAAGAAGACGAAGCUGAGUUUCUGCGGGAAAAAAAGAAAACAAAACGCGGAAAGGCGAGGUGGCCCGAGUUGGAAGACCAACUCGAGCAAUGGAUUAAUGAGCAAAGAACACCCGGGAGAAGCGUCUCAAGUCACCAUUCGACUGAGUGCAAUAACUCGGGGCUUGCCAUCAUUCCGGGAGGAUUGACGAACCGUGGGACAUCCGUGUAAACAGGGCGUUCAAAGUGAAGUGAGCGGCGUGGGAGCCAUGGAUGACAGAUGGCCAACACAGCUUUACUAAGACUAGGAGGCAGCGCCGGGCGAGUUACGCCACAAUUUGUGAAUGGAUUGUGGAUGCUUGUUCAAGCUUUCGCACGGCAACGAGACUGACUCGAACCUGGAGUGUUUGAUUGAGAACUUGCCCAGCUGUUCAUUUCGGAUACAGAAGAUGAGGAUUGAUCAAAAAAUAACAACAGAAAAGUGCGGAGGAAGAGACGAGGGAGCGCAGCAACAGACUGAUGAGAUGUCAAAAGAGCGAGCGGAGUGGUGAAGGCAGACAGAUGAAACGCAAAGUUAAUACAGCGUGUCAUGCUUCAAUAUUUGAGGCAUGACAUUUCGACACAUCUUGCAGACGCUGUGGGUAUGUUGCUGAAUGCGCUGAAAACCCCGCCUCUCCGAAUCUUUCAGCUGUCAAUCAAAUAAGUGCCUUCUCUCACGGCUCCUAAGCGGGGAGAGGAGAAUUCCAAGCGACCCACAUUGCACUGGAUCUCAUGGGCUGCAGAGAAGCAGCCUCUGAGCUGGCAUAAUGACCAUAUGCCGUGCCGCCAGGACAAUUUUCCCCCCUUUGAAAUUCAGUGGACGGAACAUGGGAAUCGAGCA